rnacentral:lncRNA from 1 species
AGGAACUGUUGGAGGAAACACGUUAAAGAUCAGUUAGGAAUGAUCAGAAGUCACUUGACCUUUUGAGGGACAUUGAUAAUAUCCUUAUAGCCUAGGAGGAAAAGAGCCACUAUUGUACGACGAAGCACAGCAGGAAAAUUUUAUGGCUGGAGUCGUGUUAUGACUUCCUGAGGUUAGAGGAGGACAAAUAUUGAUUACAAAAUACAAGCUCUGACUCAGAAAUUGGAAUGAGUUGUCUGUGGAUCCUGUAAGGAGCCUGGACAUGGUGAAGAGAAUGCCUUGACCAUCAGGAGACAGCUUAGCUUGUUGAAUCUUGAUCACUUCUUCUGACCGCUUUGGAUCUUAAAAGAACAAGGGAUGAUGGUGACUUAUGGUGACAACCAAGAACAGGCUUCAGAAAGAAAGCAGCUGUGUAGCUAUGGCCAAAUUGAACUUCUUGAGUCGGUGUCCUCGCUUGUAAAAUGGACAAUUCUACUGAAGGAAAUUGAAGGUCUUACCGACUCCAUCCAAGGAAUUGACAAGAGAUCCCCAAGAAGGUUGCAUAGAGCGAGUGAGAACACUGUCUUGAACUGCUGGGGCAUCUGCCUAAGAAUGAAAGCAAAGAACAGAGGAAAGCAGACCUAGGAGAAGGAGGGAAAGACAACGUCCCAGUAAUAACAUUCAAGCUUCUGGAUCCAACCAUGUUUGCUGCCGGACAUUAGUCCUGGUACUUCUUGUUACAUGAUCCAGUGAAUGGCUCCUCGUGCCCUCCUCUCCCCAUAUGUUUCCUCCUUUUUUUGCUUAAGGUAGUUUGAGGUAGAUUUCCAUUGUCUGCAAGUACAGAAAGAUUUGUGGAGUAGAUAGCACCUCAGCUGCAUCUUGAAGGAUGAAUAGGAAAUUCUCAGGAGAAAUAGGGAUGGAACUGAGGUGAGUAAGACUUUUCGGGCAGAAGGAACAUAUAAACAGCUUAGGGAGAAAUAUUCUAAGUGAAAUAUUUAUAUAAAAUAACUAUACAAUGGGCAUUUCCAUGGGCUCAGGCUUCUCACUUAGAAAAAUACUCUUGGCUCUCUAUAGCUGUGAGUUCCACGUCUGUGGAUUCAAACAACUGAGGAUUGAAAUAUUGGGGGAAAAAGGAUGGUUGUGUAUGUACUGAAUAUUUGUGGAUUUUUUGUCCUUGUCAUUGUCCCCAAACAAUACAGUAUAGCAACUGUUUACAUAGCAUUGAUACUGCAUUGGGUAUAAGUAAUCUAGAGAUGAUUUAAAGUAUGCAGGAGGAUGUGCACAGGUUAUAUGCAAAUCUAUGCUUUUUAAAAUUAUACUUUAAGUUCUGGGGUACAUGUGCAGAACGUUCAGGUUUGUUACAUAGGUAUACACGUGCUAUGGUGGUUUGCUGCACCCAUCAACCCGUCAUCUACCUUGGUAUUUCUCCUAAUGCUCUCCCUCCCCUAGCUCCCCACCCCCCGACAGGCCCCGGUGUGUGAUGUCCCCCUCCCUGUGUCUAUGUGUUCUCUUUGUUCAACUCCCACUUAUGAGUGAGAACAUGCAGUGUUUGGUUUUCUGUUCUUGCGUUAGUUUGCUGAGAGUGAUGGUUUCCAGCUCCAUCCAUCUCCCUGUAAAGGACAUGAACUCAUCCUUUUUUAUGGCUGCAUAAUACUAUGCUAUUUUAUAUCAGGGACUUGAGCAGCUGUGGAGUCUGGUAUCCAUGGCAGGGUCCUGGAACCAAUUCCCAGUGGAUACUGAGGGAUGACUGUACAGCUAUAGAGUGGCCAACAUUCAUUUGUAAACAGUACCCACGAGCCUGUGUCUUUCUGAGUGAAAUCUGUGAAGCAAUAAUGAAUUGGGAAAAUACUAGCUUGUUAUGUAGAUUCAGUUGCUUUCUGCUUUUAUGAAGUUCUAAGUGUAUUAGUCACAGGAUCAGCGACAGAAAUGCUACCUUUAAGAAGAAUUUCAAUGUAAUCUAUUGGGGCAUGCUCACAGAAGUUAGGAAAUCAAUCAUGUUUACUUUGUGUUCUUAUUUGUUUAGAAUGGCUGAUAAAUAAGCUUUUUCUGUGUAAUUGCUUAUGAAUAAUGGAACUAUUUUCAGUGGAUCCCUGCCAUUUUACAAAAAACAAACAAACAAACAAACAAACAAAAAAACAAAAACAAAUACUAAUCAGUUUUUUUUUUUACCAAUACUAGUACUAAAUUUAAUGCACCUGAAAUUAAAAUGACUCAUUUACAUGGCUUGAUCAGUGAUGACUGAAGCCAUAAGCGAUUUGAAUACAUCACUCUCCUUCCUUCAAGUAAAUCCUUUUUUCCUCUUGUCUCCUACUGAGUAGAUUUACCCAUCCUUUAAUGCUCAUUUCCAAUUCUACUUGCUCCAAAUAGUUGCUUCUGAAUGCUACAACAGAAUCAAGCCCCAGAACGUAUUCUCUUCUGAAAACAUGCUUAAGUUUAUGAAACACCCUAAGUACUACCUGUUGGCUUGUUAUGAAAUUAAUUUGAAUUACAACUGAAGUUGGGUUCGAGGUCUACUUGGAUGUAGUGUGUGGGGCUUGGGGAGUUUAAUCCCCAUGUCUCAUGUUUUGAUUGCAGAUCAGAUUCUGUAUAUAACUCCCUAGGAAUGCCAUCAAUAUUCUUCAGCCCUUUAUGAAAGGUGUUUCCAGGUAUUGUAGUUUCUUGAGAUUUUAAUAAGUAAUAUGCAAAAAUGGCUUUUUGAUGAAAUACAAAUAUGUUUGAGGGAAAUUUUGCAUUCAGUGGGUCUCCAUAAUGCAGGACUUAUCAGAGCCUUUAAUAUACUUUUAUUUCUUUCCAAAAGGGAGAUAUGGUACAAAGCACUUCACAUAUUAUCUACUGGCCCAUUUCCCAUAGGAAUACUAAAUUCCUUGGUUUUCUAGGGAAAACUGUGUUUUUUUUUUCUGUCUUUGCUCACUAAGUGACUUCUAGAAAUAUCUUUCCAUUGCAGAUACCCAUUUCACUUGGGCGGCAGAGUAUCUCAGGCAUCUAAUUUUAUAAUAAGAAAUGAUUUUGACCCAAGAGACCAUGCAGGUCUGCUGUGACCUUCCAGUUCUUGCUCUUUCUUUAAGAUGUGUCAGCAAUUAACAUUGAAGGAAUUUAUUUCACUGAGUACUGUAUGUUACAACUUCAUCUACUAGAAAGGUCCUUUCUUCCUCCUCAAAUCUUAGUCCAAAAAGAGGCCAACUGUUUUUGCCUGCUGAAUACUUCCAGUCAUAUUUGAAUAUAAGAAUAGUUUUUAAAUAUAUAAUUCACCACGCCUUCCCCUACGUCUAUGUAUGCUAAGAGUUGUGCUCAUUUUAAGGUGAUUUCAUAAAAAGUGAUUUCUGUCCCUGUAUUUCGAGAUGCCUGGAAAGACUGUUCAUAUCCUCUUUCAUCCUUAGAACUGGAAGCUCUGGGAGUCAUGAUGUAGUAAGGCUUUGAGCUUUGGAGCAAACCCAACUUGAAUUUGAAUACCCACUCUGUUUCUUACUAACCUUAUGGGUUUGGGAUAGUCUUUUACCUUUCUGAAUCUCAUUCUCUUCAUCUACAAGAUUAGUAUGUUAGUACUGGCAACAUAAAAAAAUAGAGAUGAAUCUCCAAGCAAAGGAUUUAUUUUGGAAUAAUAUAUGAGAAGUAGGAUUGCGAUUUGAAAUACAUAAACCAGAGCAGCCCCUAGAUGUGUCUGAAGAACAAAGGGAAAGGCUGGGGUUGUACUGGAGGAAAGGAAGAAGGUUAUGUAAAUUAUUUUGAAAGGAAAUUCAUUGGUGGCUUACAGGAGCUGGCAGGUUCUGACUGGUGAGCAGUAGCAGUUACUAGGUAAAAUUUGCAGUCAUAAAGUUGUAGCUGGCUGUUGUGGUUUUGGAUUGGGCUGGCGAGAUAAUUCCUGGAGUAGGUGUUUGUGACCUGAGUGUUUUUCCCUCUGGCUCCCAGACUCUAUUUUAGUUGGGUGUGACCAAAAUGACUCCAUUUUGCAUAAUCAGUUUUCACAGCACCCACCCACCUCAUCAUAAAGUUGUGGUCUUCCUAUGCGCUCAUCUUUGCAAGCUGAAAUACAAGAUGAUUGAUAUGGUUUGACUCUAUGUCCCCACCCAAAUCUCAGGUUGAAUUGUAAUCCCCACGUGUUGGGGGCGGGACCUGGUAAGAGGUAAUUGGACACAUGGGCGUGGUUUACCCCAUGCUCUUCUCACGAGAGUGAGUGGUUUCUCACGAGAUCUGAUGGUUUAAAAGUGUGUGGCAGUUCCCCAUUCUCUCUCUCUCUCUCUCCUUGCCACCAUGUAUGAUGUGCCUUGUUCUUCCUUUGCCUUCCACCAUGACUGUUAAGUUUUCUGAGGCCUCGCCAGCCAUGUGGAACUGUGAGUCAAUUAAACCUAUUUUUUUUUUAUAAAUUACCCAGUCUUAGGUAGUUCUUUAUAGCAGUGUGAAAACGAACUAAUACAAUCAUCCAGUGCCAAGUUAUUGCCCUGAGUCCACCUAUUCCCCACAUUGUUUGAAAUUGUGCUCACAUCUGCACAUGAAACUUCUUUUUUCCAUACCAGUGUGUCCUCUCUGUUCAAUUCAGUACACAGACCUUUCGUGGCUCUCUUAUUGCCAGUUUUUUUGUACACAUGAUGUCCACAGGCUGUAGAUAUCAUAUAGAUAUUUCAGAAUCUCUCAGGUCAAUUAUGGCCUGAGAUAAAAUCUUGUAUUAUUUUGCUGAAGUGAGUUAACACUGUCUGAAGCUGCGUCACAUAUUCUUUUCUAAGAUGCACUUUGAAACAGCCUUAACUACAAAAAAAAAAAAACAACAAAACAAUUGAAAUGUAUUUUCUUAGUCUUUAUCCACAGUGACACAAACCAAUUCCUAAUCUGAUCCAUUUUUUUUUGUUUUGAGAAAUUUAUUAUAGCCUUUCAUUAUGGAAAUAUUCAAACACACAAAAUAGAGAUAAUAUAAUAAAGUCUUACGUGCCCAGCACCCAGCCUCAACAAUGGCCGAUUUGUAAGCAAUCUUGUUUCAUUUAGAUCUUCUACUUCUUCCUCACCAUUAAAUUAUUUUGGGACAAAGCUGAGACAUCUCAUCAUUUCAUCUAUGACUAUUUUAAUAUGUACAUUUCUAAAUGAUAAAGGCAUCUUGUAAGUAUAUAAUUACAACACAAGCAUCACAACUAAAGAUUAAAAAGAAUUUUGUAAUAUGUGAACCAUUUUGAAUGGAGGAAAAAGACAAAAAAGUGUGUAGGAGUUGAGGUUCAUUACUGAGACUCUGUGGACUGAUAAAAUAAUGACCUGAAAGCCUUGAACAAUGUAUGAUCUUGAUCUUCACCCCUAUCUGCAGAUUAGAAGAAUCU